UGGGGAAUCUUCCGCAAUGGGCGAAAGCCUGACGGAGCAAUGCCGCGUGAGUGAAGAAGGCCUUCGGGUUGUAAAACUCUGUCCUUAUCGAAGAGAGGUGGGUAUGUGAAUAAUGUACUCAUAGGACGGUAGAUAAGGAGGAAGCCCCGGCUAACUACGUGCCAGCAGCCGCGGUAAUACGUAGGGGGCGAGCGUUGUCCGGAAUCACUGGGCGUAAAGGGCGCGUAGGCGGUUUAAUAAGUCAGUGGUGAAAACUGAGGGCUCAACCCUCAGCCUGCCACUGAUACUGUUAGACUUGAGUAUGGAAGAGGAGAAUGGAAUUCCUAGUGUAGCGGUGAAAUGCGUAGAUAUUAGGAGGAACACCAGUGGCGAAGGCGAUUCUCUGGGCCAAGACUGACGCUGAGGCGCGAAAGCGUGGGGAGCAAACAGGAUUAGAUACCC
rnacentral:rRNA from 1 species